UGGCACCUCGAUGUCGGCUCAUCGCAUCCUGGGGCUGUAGUCGGUCCCAAGGGUUGGGCUGUUCGCCCAUUAAAGCGGUACGCGAGCUGGGUUCAGAACGUCGUGAGACAGUUCGGUCCCUAUCCGUCGCGGGCGUAGGAAAUUUGAGAGGAUCUGUCCUUAGUACGAGAGGACCGGGAUGGACAUACCGCUGGUGUACCAGUUGUUCUGCCAAGGGCAUCGCUGGGUAGCUAUGUAUGGAUGAGAUAAACGCUGAAAGCAUCUAAGUGCGAAACUCACCUCGAGAUAAGAUUUCCCAUUCCUUUAUGGAAGUAAGACCCCUGAGAGAUGAUCAGGUAGAUAGGAUGGAAGUGGAAGUACGGUGACGUAUGGAGCGGACCAUUACUAAUCGGUCGAGGACUUAACCAAG
rnacentral:rRNA from 2 species